GGAUCAUUCCCUCGGUCGCCAUGUUUCCCAGCGCAGUCACCGCACUGACAGGAGCCGGGAGAAGCCGGAGCUCGGAGCGCGCCGGCCGGGAGCGCGCUCGCCUUGGACAGCGCGAGAGCGGGAGCGCGAGGAGCUGCCGGCAGAUUCCCUGAAGGCUCCAAGGAACCUGGCUGGCGCUUAGACAGCUGCGUGGGUGGCGGAACGGCGGCUACUUGGACACUCCGUGGUGGGUCUUGAAGAAGUAUCCUGUCCAGCCUCUUCCCGAUUGCUUCCUCAGUCUGUUUCUCCCGAGCUUUAGGGCCCCAUUUCGAAGUCUGUGUGUACACGCGAUCUUUACAAGCUUAGGAGCCUGCAGCAGGGCAUCUUAGUGUAGAUAACUUGGCUUUUGCAACUGCGGCUCUCCUGUGGUUUUGUGGCUUCUUCGAUACAGUCUCUGCUUUUCAAUGAAAAGCACCAAUUUUAGUGAGAAGGUGCCCCGCCCACCUUAACCUUGUCACAAAAGUGGAAAUAGAACCCAGGCUAAAGCAUUUGAGUUUCAUUUCAGUAUUUGUUACCACUUUUUUUUCAAGUGUUUUGCAUAAAAUGUUAUUAAUCGCCUGUGGCUAUUUCAUAUCAGUUUCCUAGUUCCCUUCUUUUAGCCCUUUCAACUUAUAAAUUUAAAAAGUUAUAUAUGCACGUAUAUAUUUUUCCCUUGGGUUCUCAGCCAUGUUAAAACCUGGGAAACUUGAAAAGCAAAGUGUCCGAAAUGUAUAAUCAACCUUGGUGCACAAUUAAAAUCUCAGUUUGAUGGC